GAUGAACGCUGGCGGCGUGCCUAAUACAUGCAAGUCGAGCGAAUGGAUUAAGAGCUUGCUCUUAUGAAGUUAGCGGCGGACGGGUGAGUAACACGUGGGUAACCUGCCCAUAAGACUGGGAUAACUCCGGGAAACCGGGGCUAAUACCGGAUAACAUUUUGAACCGCAUGGUUCGAAAUUGAAAGGCGGCUUCGGCUGUCACUUAUGGAUGGACCCGCGUCGCAUUAGCUAGUUGGUGAGGUAACGGCUCACCAAGGCAACGAUGCGUAGCCUGCCUGAGAGGGUGAUCGGCCAAACUGGGACUGAGACACGGCCCAGACUCCUACGGGAGGCAGCAGUAGGGAAUCUUCCGCAAUGGGCGAAAGUCUGACGGAGCAACGCCGCGUGAGUGAUGAAGGCUUUCGGGUCGUAAAACUCUGUUGUUAGGGAAGAACAAGUGCUAGUUGAAUAAGCUGGCACCUUGACGGUACCUAACCAGAAAGCCACGGCUAACUACGUGCCAGCCGCCGCUGUAA
rnacentral:rRNA from 1 species